rnacentral:rRNA from 1 species
AUGGCGUCGAUCUCGUCCAUGAAGAUCAUGGACGGCGCCCGGGCCUCGGCCUGGGCGAACACCUUGCGCAGGUUGUCCUCGCUCUGGCCGGCCAUCAUGGACAUGAUCUCCGGCCCGUUGACGACGACGAAGUUGGCGCCCGACUCGGCCGCGGUGGCGCGCGCGAGCAGCGUCUUGCCGGUGCCGGGCGGGCCGUAGAGUAGGAUCCCCUUGGGUGGCUUCACGCCCAGCGUCUUGAACAGCUUGGGGUGGCGCAGCGGCAGCUCGACCAGCUCCCGGAUCUGCGCGAGCUGCUUGCGGACGCCGCCAAUGUCGUCGUAG